GUCGGAAAGAAAAUGUGAUAUGCUUGAAUUGAAAUACAUGUGAAUUUCUCCAAUAUAAAGAGAAAAGAAGACAAUUUAAAUAAUUUUAUUUUUUACUUAUUUCAUUUGAUUAUGAUCAUCUUAGAGUAUAAAUCCAUGAUUACAAGGUCUAUGAAAAUAUUAAAAGAUCUUUUUUUUUUUUUUAAUUAUUGGGUGCUAACGUUAUAACUAAAUGAUAGCUGAUGGAAUUUUAUGGGCACAAUGCUCAAUUACAAUGACAAAAGCCGUCUUUUGUGGAAAGGAAUAAAAAAUAAGGUUUUAAACACACUGGUAUCAAAGGAAACUCACACAACUCAUUUUGGCAACCAGAGUCUUCUUUACAUUUAAUACGACCUGUAUUAAUAAAAAAAAAGAGA
rnacentral:lncRNA from 1 species